CGUAUGUAAUCCAGCUUGUCAAAAUGAGGGUGUCUGCGUGAGUCCAAAUACAUGUCGCUGUCCACCAGGCCGAUACACGGGCCCCAACUGCAAUAUACCCGUAUGUAAUCCAGCUUGUCAAAAUGAGGGUGUCUGCGUGAGUCCAAAUACAUGUCGCUGUCCACCAGGCCGAUACACGGGCCCCAACUGCAAUAUACCCGUAUGUAAUCCAGCUUGUCAAAAUGAGGGUGUCUGCGUGAGUCCAAAUACAUGUCGCUGUCCACCAGGCCGAUACACGGGCCCCAACUGCA